CAGUAGCCGCGGGAAUACGUAGGGUGCAAGCGUUGUCCGGAAUUAUUGGGCGUAAAGAGCUCGUAGGCGGUUUGUCGCGUCUGCUGUGAAAUCCCGAGGCUCAACCUCGGGCUUGCAGUGGGUACGGGCAGACUAGAGUGCGGUAGGGGAGAUUGGAAUUCCUGGUGUAGCGGUGGAAUGCGCAGAUAUCAGGAGGAACACCGAUGGCGAAGGCAGAUCUCUGGGCCGUAACUGACGCUGAGGAGCGAAAGCGUGGGGAGCGAACAGGAUUAGAUACCCCUGUAGUCCCUGUCUCUUAUAA
rnacentral:rRNA from 1 species